rnacentral:rRNA from 1 species
UACGUAGGGUGCGAGCGUUAAUCGGAAUUACUGGGCGUAAAGUGUGCGCAGGCGGCGUCGCAAGUCGAGUGUGAAAGCCCCGGGCUCAACCUGGGAAUUGCAUGGGAAACUGGCAGGCUUGAGUGUGGCAGAGGAGGGUGGAAUUCCGCGUGUAGCAGUGAAAUGCGUAGAGAUGCGGAGGAACACCGAUGGCGAAGGCAGCCCUCUGGGCCAACACUGACGCUCAGGCACGAAAGCGUGGGGAGCAAACAGG